CUUUAAGGAUGUUUUUAAAGUAUUUUUUGCCCUAUGAUUAAUUAAAUGGCCGCAGUAUUUUGACUGUGCAAAGGUAGCAUAAUAAUUAGUUCUUUAAUUGGGGACUUGAAUGAAUGGAUAAAUGAGAAAUUUAUUUUAUUUUAAUUAACUUUAGAAUUUUAUUUUUGGGUUAAAAAGCUUAAUUUUUUUUUUGGGACGAAAAGACCCUAAAGAACUUUCAAAUUAUUUAUUUGUAUUAUUAUUUAUAUGUAAAUGAAUAUAUUUAAUUAGUUUUUUAACUGGGGCGGUUGUUAAAUUUAACUUUAAUUUUAAAAAUCAAAAAUUAUUGAUUAUUUUGAUCCAAUUAAUUGAUUAUAAGUUAAGUUACCUUAGGGAUAACAGCGUAAUUUUAAUGGGGAGUUCUUAUUUAUAUUAAAGUUUGCGACCUCGAUGUUGAAUUAAGAUAAAUUUAUGGGGUAGGUUCUAUAAUUUUUGGUCUGUUCGACCAUUAUAUUCUUACA
rnacentral:rRNA from 1 species